UACGUAGGGGGCUAGCGUUGUUCGGAAUUACUGGGCGUAAAGCGCACGUAGGCGGCUUUGUAAGUUAGAGGUGAAAGCCCGGGGCUCAACCCCGGAAUUGCCUUUAAGACUGCAUCGCUAGAAUUGUGGAGAGGUAAGUGGAAUUCCGAGUGUAGAGGUGAAAUUCGUAGAUAUUCGGAAGAACACCAGUGGCGAAGGCGACUUACUGGACACAUAUUGACGCUGAGGUGCGAAAGCGUGGGGAGCAAACAGG
rnacentral:rRNA from 1 species